rnacentral:rRNA from 1 species
GUGCCAGCCGCCGCGGUAAUACGGGGGGUGCGAGCGUUGUCCGGAUUCACUGGGCGUAAAGGGCGCGUAGGCGGCCCGAUCAGUCGGUCUUUUAAGAGCGGGGCUCACCCCCGUGGGGGGACCGGGACGGUCGGGCUGGGGCGCGGCAGAGGGAUGCGGAAUGCCGGGUGUAGUGGUGAAAUGCGUAGAUAUCCGGCGGAACACCGGUGGUGGAAGCGGCAUCCUGGGCCGAGGCCGACGCUGAGGCGCGAGAGCGUGGGGAGCGAACCGGAUUAGAUACCCGGGUAGUCC